rnacentral:rRNA from 2 species
CAGAAUGACUCUCGGCAACGGAUAUCUAGGCUCUUGCAUCGAUGAAGAACGUAGCGAAAUGCGAUACUUGGUGUGAAUUGCAGAAUCCCGUGAACCAUCGAGUCUUUGAACGCAAGUUGCGCCCGAAGCCAUCAGGUUGAGGGCACGUCUGCCUGGGCGUCACAU